rnacentral:rRNA from 1 species
GAUGAACGCUAGCGGCAGGCCUAAUACAUGCAAGUCGAACGGGAUCCAGAUCAAAGCUUGCUUUGGUUUGGUGAGAGUGGCGCACGGGUGCGUAACGCGUGAGCAACCUACCCUUGUCAGGGGGAUAGCCCGGCGAAAGUCGGAUUAAUACCGCAUGACAUCAUUGAGAGGCAUCUUUCGAUGAUCAAAGAUUUAUCGGACAAGGAUGGGCUCGCGUGACAUUAGCUAGUUGGUAAGGUAACGGCUUACCAAGGCUACGAUGUCUAGGGGCUCUGAGAGGAGAAUCCCCCACACUGGUACUGAGACACGGACCAGACUCCUACGGGAGGCAGCAGUAAGGAAUAUUGGUCAAUGGACGGAAGUCUGAACCAGCCAUGCCGAGUGCAGGAAGACGGCCCUAUGGGUUGUAAACUGCUUUUAUACGGGAACAAACGUCGGUACGGGUACCGGUCUGAGUGUACCGUAAGAAUAAGGAUCGGCUAACUCCGUG